rnacentral:rRNA from 1 species
CCUACGGGUGACAGCAGUGAGGAAUAUUGGUCAAUGGACGGAAGUCUGAACCAGCCAUGCCGCGUGCAGGAAGACGGCCCUAUGAGUUGUAAACUGCUUUUGUACAAGGGUAAACCUGAACACGUGUACUUAGUUGAAAGUACUGUAUGAAUAAGGAUCGGCUAACUCCGUGCCAGCAGCCGCGGUAAUACGGAGGAUCCAAGCGUUAUCCGGAUUUAUUGGGUUUAAAGGGUGCGUAGGCGGAUUGAUAAGUUAGUGGUGAAAUUUUCGGGCUUAACUCGAGAACUGCCUCUAAUACUGGUGAUCUAGAGAAUAGAUGCGGUAGGCGGAAUGUAUGGUGUAGCGGUGAAAUGCUUAGAGAUCAUACAGAACACCGAUUGCGAAGGCAGCUUACCAAUCUAUAUCUGACGUUGAGGCACGAAAGCGUGGGGAGCAAACAGGAUUAGAUACCCUGGUAGUC